UAUUCUUUCACUCCCCCAAUCUGAAGGAAAACGAAAGAGUCAUUGUUCCCCAAACCCUUUCCCACAUCUCAAAAUAUUAGCAGUGGAACUUCAAUCACUGCUAAUAUUAUUUACUAUUGUUCAAGUAAUCUGUUCUAUUGGCUUUAUUUUUAAUUUUAUUCAGAUGUAUUGCCAUUUGCUUCAGUCAGAGUAAUUUCUCCCCACAGAUAUGCCGAGGCCCCGACGUUACCCGAACUUCCAAAAGUCAGUUCAGUCAGCUUCAGCUUCCGCUUUAGCUUCAACGUUUGCUUCAGCUUCACCACAUCUGACAUCAUUUCUUCAGCCAACACCACAGCCGACACCUUCAAUUCAUGCUACAGCACAUGUGGCCCCAGUUGUUCAUGUCACAGAACAUGUGACCUCGUCAAUUCAUGCUGCAGCACAACCGGAUCCGUCCGUACAGACUACAACACAAUCAACUCCAUCAGUUCAAGCUGCAUCAUAGCGCGGAAGGCGUGGUGCACGUGAGUCUACGUCGCAUUGGACAGUAGAUGCGAUAGAUUCAUAAGGAGUUAGCAAGAGACUCAAAAUAAAGGUUCGUGUUCUUCUAUGUGCCAAGAUAAGUACAAACAAGUUUUGGAUACUCACAAUGAAAGAAAAGAGAAUUACGCUCAAAUUAUGAAUGCUCACACUCAAAUGAUGAAUGCUUUCAAGGCCUAUAUGAUAAUGAAAGAAGGGAGGAUACGUGAAGAAUUUGCUGGGAUCUUUGUUCCUCCUCCUGCUACAACGGCAAAUGAUACAACUAGAAGAUCCAUUUCACUCAUGGGCUUUAGAAGAUCAUCUGAUGGUAGUGAUUCCAGUGACAACAAUUGAAGUUCCUUACAAGUGUAUUAGAUAAUUAAGUAUGAUACUGGAUUGAAUGGUUGAAGUAAAUAUUUUGUGUGUAAUAGCUGCAGUAGAUGUUUUGCACUUAAUGGCUGCAGCAGA